AUCCAGUUUCAUGAGCCACUCCUUAUUCUUUCCAUGACACCUUUGCAGACACUUCCUUUUUUCCCUCUCUACAUCUCAACAACAAUUGUUUGUGUUUUCCAUAACUGAUGAUGACAAUGCCUCCAAUGUUCUGGACACCGAGUAUUAGCAAACUGUGAUGGACACCUUCUGGAUGAAGCCUUGACACCUGCAGAGGGCUGAGGAAGGAACAACAGUUGCCUUUGAAAGGGAAAUGAUUUGAAUACUGGGGCUGGGUUACGAACCCCACACCUUUUAAGAACAACGCCAUGUGGAGGGGGAUGAGACUGGACUUCUCACCACCUUCUGAAGGACCAGCUGCCUGGGUUCUCACCAUGCUUUGGGUCUCCUUCCUCACACUCUUCGCUUACUGCUCAGGUACCUUGGGCCAAUAUGUGGUCUCCCAGCCACCAUCCGCAUCCGUCUCUCUGGGGGAAAAUGGCCAAAUCACUUGUUCGGGGAAUAAAAUUGGAGGCAAGUAUGUGCAGUGGUACCAACAGAAACCUGGCAAGGCCCCUGUCCUCAUUGUAUAUGGAAGUAUCUUGGGGUCCUUGAGCAUUCUGGAUCGAUUUUCUGGCACCAACUCUGGCAACACGGCCACCUUAAGCAUCUCUCGGGCCCAAGCAGAAGACGAGGCAGAUUAUUACUGCCAGGUAUGGGACAGCAACACAGCUGUCUUCGGCGGCGGGACCAGCCUGUUAGUCCUAGGUAAGUCACUUUAAAAUACAUCUACAAUGAUCUCCCACUGGUUUUUUGGUUGUUGUUUUGCUUUUUUUUCAGCCAAAACCUGUCUUUGUCUCCGGUGAGGAACCCUUGGCAUGCCAGGUUGAAUUGUCUUACGAGAGCCAAGCUUGAACAAAAUCAAAUGCUUUUUGUCAAUCGUUUCUGUUUAUUUCAAUUCGGACUUAAAUCCAAACCUACUCCAGACUUAAAUCCAAAGCGCAAAAGUUUUGGGUGCCUGUUCAUGUUUGUAAAUCUCUGCUUUCACAAAAUGUUUGUACGUAUUUCACUACAGAAAUGUUUCUAAAGGUUUUUAAUCCAGGCUUCUAAGGACUAAAUGGGACAUUGGUAGUUUGACAGUCAUUGGUGAGUCGAUUUUUAUCACUGGCAGAAAACUAUUCAGAUAAAGAAUCAUAAAGCAAAGGCUCGUGUAUGCAUUGUCUAUUAUGCACGGAAUCCCAUAUAUUUCGUUUUAGAGGAAAAUAAUAUUUUAUUGUGUUGUCAAAGGCUUUCAUAGCUGGAAUCACUUGGUUGCUGUGAGUUUUCUGGACUGUCUAGCCAUCUUCCAGAAGCAUUCUCUUCUCAUGUUUCGCCCACAUCUAUAGCAGGCAUCCUCAGAAUUUGUGAGAUUUUGGAGGGUUGUUUUUCCAACUUCAUCGCGUUGCAUUGUAUCAUUGUUCUAGACUCCUGUCAGCUUUGUCUGGUCCCAAAAUACCUUACCCAGAAUUAAUUCAAAGAUCAGGAAGUCCCGGAUUUUGUUCCCGUCCUUUCCAAUGUCAUUUUGGAGAUCUGGACUCGCUUCCAGUUUUGUUCUUUCUGAUUUUAUGCACAUCUUUUCGGUCAGCUCC